AGUCACUAGGUCCAGCUUACACUCAAGGGGAAGGAAUUGCACAAAAGCAUGGAUAUCAACGGUAGUCUUCAAGCCAGAAGAAAUUCGAUUCUGUAGGCCAGAGUGGCACUCAGGGAGAGGUCGGAGCUCAGGUUUGAGGAGUAGUGCAUCCUAACAUCAGGAUCUUCCGAUGCUUGGACUCAGUCAUGUAAAAAGCACCAUCCCCUUCAAUGUGUACAAUGCGUCCAAUGUAAGGGAAGUGAAAACUUUCUUAACAUACUCACUCCAGGCAAGGGGGAUUGGUCACGGGAAAACUUGUGGCUACCUACAGCCUCUGAGAGGUCAGCAGGAGGACUGAUGAUGUAUGCAUAAGGGGAGCCGGGUCAACACAGGAGCUGAUAUAUAAAUAAAUGUACGAAAACUCCAAAGUCAAGUUCUGUAUAAGGAAGUCUGGAACAGUCCUCCUCUUGCCUUACUGAGGAAUGGCCUUGGCUACAGUGCAAAGAUGGAGAGGAGAGGAGGGCGCGCAGAAAAGCAAAAAUUGGAGAAAAAUGAAUUCCAAAGCAAUCCACCAGGACCAGCAGAAUGGCCCACUGCACCUCCUGCCACAGUCUACACUGCAGCUAUCUGCCUCUAACAGAAACCACCCCCCAGUACCCUCUCCAUUACAGGCACAUGUCGUUAGAGCUCCACCACACCACUCGCUGAACACUCUUCCAUGACCUCCACCGAAUGGAUGGUGCCCACCCACAUCGGGGAGCAGAGGGUUAUCUGCUCUUCUCAGUCCACCAGUUCAAAUGCUAAUCUCUUCUGGAAACACCCUCACAGACAUACCUAGAAACAAUGUUCGACCAGCUAUCUGGGCCUCCCUUGGCCCAGUCAAGUUGACAUCCGAAAUUAACCAUCACAAUGGCUCUGCCUUUGCUGAUUACCUUGUGACACAGGAAAAGCAGUGAUAAAGCACUUUAAUUGAUGACACCCCCAUGAUAUUCAUUACACCUGCUAUAAAGUAAU
rnacentral:lncRNA from 1 species